rnacentral:lncRNA from 1 species
AGGAGGCUGAGGCUGCAGUGAGACUGAUCACACCACUGCACUUCAGCCUGAGCAACGGAGUGCAUUUGCCUCCACCAGGAAUAUCAGUACAGUUUGAUUACUGACUAUAAGUCACACAUUCAGAUAAUCCUAGUAUUUUGACUUUUUUCUUUAUUAAUAUCUCCUUUGUCUUCCAUGGGAUGUGCCUUUCCUUUUGACUCUGCUCUUUAUGAAUAAAGGAGUUGGAUUCCCAAUUCACUCAGAGGUUUCAGUUAGCUUUGCUUUGCCCCAUGGCUUCAGGUAUAUAACUUCGUAAUAGUUAUGGUGGUUUUAAAAUAUGUCUACAAAUCCUUUGACAGUCUUCUUCACAAAAUGAAGAGCCUAGUUCCCCUCCCUUUCAGUGGGGGCUGGACUUAGUACCUCACUGCUGAUGAACGGAUUAUGGUGGAAGUGAAGUGUGACUUGAGACCAGGUCAUAAAAGAGGCACUGUGGCUUCUGUUUGCUGUCUUGGACCACUUGCUCUGGGGAUGCCAACUGCCACAUUGUGGGGACAUUCAAGCACUAUGGAGGGGGUCUACAGAGCGAGGAAGUAGAUCCACUCUAAAAGUGGAUUCUCCCAGUCUCAGUUGAGCCUUCAGGAGGACACAAUGAGAAUGCUGCAGCUGGUCCCCAUGACUCCCACUCCUGUGCUAGCGGACGCAGUUCGAGCCGUAGCCCCAAAGGUAUUUUUAUAAACAGCUAUUCUCCCCAUAAGUCGGUGCCAUAGAAACACAAGGUUAUAUUUUUGUUAUGAUAAAAUGUGUGUCCAAAAACUAUCAACAAAUGUGCUGACACUGGCACUACUGUAUCUUGGAAAUAACUGUUAAACACAUGCCUCUAACUCUCCAAUAAAAUAUGAACUAAACCCAGUUUGUUCUUAGUCAUAAUGACAGAUGACAAUGUCACUGACCUGAAUACCACUGGUCUCAUACUAGCAAGAGGAAUGAUGAUUUGUUCAUUUUCUCUUGAACUAUACGUUUAGUUGUCAUCUUUUAUUUAAAUAUUAAAUAGCUGCUUUCCACUUCCCAAACCCAUUCUCUAAAAUUCAAAUAAGUUUUGGGAUUUUUUUGGGUCCCUUCUCUCCUUUCCCAUGGAACUCUAUACAGGGCACCCUUCUGUCCAGAACAGGCUAGAUCUAAUUCUUUGUAACUUCAGAAAGGGUAUUGUGAACAGCUGAGAUUUUUCUGAAAAGAUGCUGUAAUAAUUGUUUUUAAAUAAGAUUUUUAUAAUAAGCUACUUUUAGCCACUAUUUCACAGGUGGCAGGGUACUGCUGCUUGCUGUAAAGAUUUAAGCAUCGUGAACAGGUAUAACACACCAUGUCCUACCUGCUCCAGAUAGCCCCCCUCCACCACGAUGGGAUUGGUCUGUCUGGAACUUGUGACACUCACCACACCCUUCUGUCCUCUGAAGGUGCCUAGUUUUCAAAAGGCCUGUCUGUCCAUGACAUGUCACCAGGCUGAACACAGAGACUGACAAGCGAAGUGUGGCCUGCAUCCUGGCUUUGCUACAGCUCCAUCAGUAACUUCUCUGCCUCAGUUUUCUACUUGUCAAACACUUAAUGACCACAGUACCUAUGGGUCUGUUGCUGUGAGGAUUAAAUGAGAUAAUGAAUAUCAAAUGUUUAGAACAGUGCCUAAUACACAGUUGACCCCUAAUAAAUGCUGAUAUUAUUAUUUUUAACACUGCAGAGACAUGCACACAUAGAAAUAUGGUAAGUUAGAUUUGAAACUAAAGGCAGGGUUAUUAAAGACAAAUGAUUAGUGUUUUAAAAUCUGAAUUACACAGUUUGUAUUCUAAAACACAUACACACACACACACACAGAAAUGUGUACCAAUUAAACACAAUAAAGUUCAAAGGGGAUAUAAAUUACAGUUUUUCUUUUUUUAACAGACAAUAGUAAAAUACUACAGUCAGCUCACUAUACACACAAAUCAUGAACAGCAGCUUUUCAUUAAGGUUUCCAAUAUCUUACUCAUUUACCAACUCGAAGAAUUUAAAAGAAAAAAGGUACAGCAGGCUCUACCCAUUCUCUCUCUCUUGCUCUCACAACACAUUUAUAGCUGUACAUCCAGACCGAUUAUACAGGCAUCUACAGAAUAGGUACAGAAAGGAAUUUUGUAAAAAUUUCCAUACACAUAAUCCUUCAAUGUCUCCAUUUGUAGGAGAAUUUUACAAAUGAAGACACGACAGCAGGGUCAUCUGUAUUCGAUCAUCUCCUGCAAACAUGGUAAAGGGUGAACCAUUGAACUUCAUAGCUCAGUCCAUCUCCUCAGCAUUUUCCAGAAUCAAGCAAAAUAACAACAGCAAAACCACGCCACAGUGAAACCUACCAAUCCAAAACAAAACCACACACACAGAAACACACAAAAAUCAACACCUCCCACCCCACCCACCCCACCACUACUCCUGGCUGUCCUUGUGUUUUCUUACAGUAAUACGGCUCUCUUCAUUCCACCUGCCCAGCUGGGCUGAGCCACGGUCCAGGCAACUGUGGAGUCAGGACCCCAGUCAUUGUCAACAGUUAUAAUACAAUGUCAAGUCAGCAGGUGGAGGGGCAGGUGGAAGACCA